UACGGGGGGGCAAGCGUUGUUCGGAAUUACUGGGCGUAAAGGGCUCGUAGGCGGCCAACUAAGUCAUACGUGAAAUCCCUCGGCUUAACCGGGGAACUGCGUCUGAUACUGGAUGGCUUGAGAUUGGGAGAGGGAUGCGGAAUUCCAGGCGUAGCGGUGAAAUGCGUAGAUAUCUGGAGGAACACCGGUGGCGAAGGCGGCAUCCUGGACCAACACUGACGCUGAGGAGCGAAAGCCAGGGGGGCAAACGGG
rnacentral:rRNA from 1 species